CUUGGUCAUUUAGAGGAAGUAAAAGUCGUAACAAGGUCUCCGUUGGUGAACCAGCGGAGGGAUCAUUACAGAGUUGCAAAACUCCCUAAACCAUUGUGAACGUUACCUAAACCGUUGCUUCGGCGGGCGGCCCGGGUCCUUCCCGGCGCCCCUCGGCCCUCGCGGGCGCCCGCCGGAGGUAAACCAAACUAUUGCAUUGUAUGGCCUCUCUGAGUCUUCUGUACUGAAUAAGUCAAAACUUUCAACAACGGAUCUCUUGGUUCUGGCAUCGAUGAAGAACGCAGCGAAAUGCGAUAAGUAAUGUGAAUUGCAGAAUUCAGUGAAUCAUCGAAUCUUUGAACGCACAUUGCGCCCGCCAGUAUUCUGGCGGGCAUGCCUGUUCGAGCGUCAUUUCAACCAUCAAGCCCCCGGCUUGUGUUGGGGACCUGCGGCUGCCGCAGGCCCUGAAAUGCAGUGGCGGGCUCGCUGUCACUCCGAGCGUAGUAGUUACAUCUCGCUCUGGGCGUGCUGCGGGUUCCGGCCGUUAAAAGCCUUAUUUACCCAAGGUUGACCUCGGAUCAGGUAGGAAGACCCGCUGAACUUAAGCAUAUCAAUAAGCGGAGGA
rnacentral:rRNA from 1 species